rnacentral:rRNA from 1 species
UGGGGAAUAUUGGACAAUGGGCGCAAGCCUGAUCCAGCCAUGCCGCGUGAGUGAUGAAGGCCUUAGGGUUGUAAAGCUCUUUCGCCGACGAAGAUAAUGACGGUAGUCGGAGAAGAAGCCCCGGCUAACUUCGUGCCAGCAGCCGCGGUAAUACGAAGGGGGCUAGCGUUGCUCGGAAUCACUGGGCGUAAAGCGCACGUAGGCGGAUCGUUAAGUCAGGGGUGAAAUCCUGGAGCUCAACUCCAGAACUGCCCUUGAUACUGGCGAUCUCGAGUUCGAGAGAGGUUGGUGGAACUCCGAGUGUAGAGGUGAAAUUCGUAGAUAUUCGGAAGAACACCAGUGGCGAAGGCGGCCAACUGGCUCGAUACUGACGCUGAGGUGCGAAAGCGUGGGGAGCAAAACAGGAUUAGAUACCCUGGUAGUCCACGCCGUAAACGAUGGAUGCUAGCCGUUGGGGGGUUUGACCUCUCAGUGGCGCAGCUAACGCCUUAAGCAUCCCGCCUGGGGAGUACGGUCGCAAGAUUAAAACUUAAAUGAAUUGACGGGGUCAUAGCUGUUUCCU